AUGCAGAGCAAUCUGUGUUUAAGUAGUAAUAAACUACUUUAAAAGAAAUGAAUCCCAUAUUGGUUUUUCUUAGAGUAAGUGUCUUCU
rnacentral:pre_miRNA from 1 species